AAUCAACGCUGGCGGCGUGCCUAACACAUGCAAGUCGAACGCGAAAGCCCCUUCGGGGGUAAGUAGAGUGGCGUCCGGGUGAGUAACACGUAGGUAAUCUACCUUCGGGUGGGGAAUAACUCGCCGAAAGGCGAGCUAAUACCGCAUAAUGCAGCGGCACCUAAUGGUGAUUAGUUGUUAAAGCGGGGAUCGUAAGACCUCGCGCCUGAAGAGGAGCCUGCGGCAGAUUAGCUAGUUGGGAGGUAAUGGCUCACCAAGGCUUCGAUCUGUAGCUGGUCUGAGAGGACGGCCAGCCACACUGGCACUGACAC
rnacentral:rRNA from 1 species